UACGUAGGUGGCAAGCGUUGUCCGGAUUUACUGGGCGUAAAGAGCGCGCAGGCGGUUGAUUAAGUCGAAUGUGAAAGCCCCCGGCUCAACUGGGGAGGGUCAUUCGAUACUGAUUGACUUGAAGGCAGGAGAGAGAAGUGGAAUUCCCGGUGUAGUGGUGAAAUGCGUAGAUAUCGGGAGGAACACCAGUGGCGAAGGCGGCUCACUGGACUGGUACUGACGCUGAGGCGCGAAAGCGUGGGGAGCGAACAGG
rnacentral:rRNA from 1 species